rnacentral:rRNA from 1 species
UCUACCCUGAUGUCUGGGAUAACCAGCCGAAAGGCUGACUAAUACCGGCUAUAUGCUACCCUGUUGGGGGUAUCAGGAAAGGUGGCCUCUUCUUGAAAGCUAUCGCAUUGGGAUGAGUUUGCGUACCAUUAGCUAGUUGGUGGGGUAAUGGCCUACCAAGGCAUCGAUGGUUAGCGGGUCUGAGAGGAUGAUCCGUCACACUGGCACUGGAACACGGGCCAG